rnacentral:lncRNA from 1 species
UCAUUCGAAGGAGAAUUUUGAAAAAGUAGAGCAUCACGGUAUCACACAGUUGACAGAAUAUAAAAUAUAAACUUAAGUUAGAAGGUGAUUAUUGGUCAUAUAUCAAGUACAUCAAGAUACAUGGAGAAUUCUAAUUGGCAGGGCUGUAUGUGAGGAAAGCAGAUCACAGUCGACAUUUCAGGUAAACUUCAAGACAGGAAACGUCUAUGCUGUAUAAAACAAAAAAAUAUAUACACUGAAACUUUGGUUGCAUGGAAUAGGAUUCACAAUCGGAUAAUCAGACAAAGUCCAGCAUACAUAAUAGAGCAAUGUCAGCAGAUUAACAUAACAUUAACAGGUAAGCAACAUACUUUAAAUUCAUCUUUUUUUUCUCUUACGAAUAGAUUUUAAAAUGUUCAACAUAGAUAUGACUGCCCAACUUAUUCAUCUAACAAAUCAUCCCACGCAAAGGGGAGGUGUCCGAGCCUGCAUGUGGUUGAAUCUCUCUUAGUCGGACAAUUCUAUAAAACACAUUCACAUUGUUUAGUGAUGAUACAUCCUCCAAGAGGCCACAUUUACCCAUCAGCAUGUUGCAUUAUAAGGUCGUUGUCAAAUUUAUCCUUUGGUUGGAGUUGCUCAAAACAUUCAAAUCAGUGUUAGCUGUUUUAAUUCAAUGACUGGUCAAAGUCCCGAAUAGCUGUAGAUAUAGUUAUAAAAAUCGGCCCAGAUACCGAACUGGUAAAGGGUCUGGUCACUGGUUCAGUGUUCCCAGGUUAAUUGAUAAGAUCUGGUUAUAUUAAAAAUAUUUAAUAAAUUUAAAACAUUUAAAAAUAAAUAAUAAAAUAUUAUUAGAAAAAUAUGUAUAAUCAGGGAUAAAUUUUUAUCUUAAAUACUAUCCUUUAAAUUGCAUGGGUCUAUAUUUUUCACUGCUUUUCAAUUGUAAGAAAUACAAAAUAAUCAAGAGAUCCUCUACGUUUUAGAAAAUACUUAUAUAUAACGUAGAAAAAUAUGUAGAACUUACUGAUAUUUUUAGUUUUAAAAAUAUCAAAAAGAAUAUAAUGAAAAAUACUUUUUUUUUUGGGGGGGGGGGACGCCAUUGUAUGAACAAAAGAAUUAAUUUUCUAUGUCACGAACUGUAGAGCUUACUGCAUUUUUUGAAAAAAAAAAAUUGAUAUACUUUUUUUGAUUUUAUAAGAAACAUAUUUAUUUUAAGGGAAGAACUCAUUAUGAAAAAUGGUAAUGUGCAUGAAAGAACUGUUACAUAUAUAUUUGAACUAUUACAGUAUAUCAUAAGUGAAUUUUAUCACGGUGGCUGAGUGGCUUGUGUACUUUUUUUGAUUAGGCAGCGGAUCAAAUCUGGUGCUGACAUCUUUUCUGUUAUAAUUUUGUACUCAAUCGAGCAUGUCUGGACCACCUGGUUCACCAGAUUUUUUUCCAAAAACUGGCAAGGCUGAUGCUUUUCAAUGAGUCCAACCGAAGUUCCAGUACUCAGAAGAAAGCAGAGCAGCCAAGGGUCCCGUUUCACCUGUUUUCAGUCGAACUGGCCAGUCCAGGCUGGUUUUUGUAACUAUGACAAUAGAGAUUAAAGCCCAAUGAAGAAUGCUGUUGUAUUAUUCCAUAACAUUUCUAACCUAUAUGAAGGCAUACAAUUACAUAAUGUUUUCUUUUCAACUUGAUCGUGGUUCUAUUGCAGUUUUAGUUUAGCAAUAAUAGUUCUGAUCUUUUCCACAACCUAUGAUAAAUGGGCUUCAAGCAUCUUAACUAUCACUUUCAGAUCAAACUAAAGGCUUAUUUCUUCUUUCACUAAUCCCUGACACUAUACUAAAUUUGGUCUCCAGUUGAUAUGUGUAUAGCAAUUACCAAUUAGGAACAAGAAAUGUUAAUGCUGCUCACCAAAUUUACGUAGAUGACUGCCUUAUCAGCUACCAUCAAUGUCUAUAAUGUGAACUAAGCUGCAAUUAAUACAAGGCAUCAGAACUCAAACCUCGCGUGGUAUCGGCUCAUCAGAUUCUAGCAUCCGGACAACCUGACCCAUCUUUGGUCUCUUCUCUGCAUCUGGAUCAACACACCUUAGGGCUGUCAGAAGGGCACGUUUGAGGGCUCUGGUAGAUGGCCUUGUCUCUAUACUUGGAUCCACCACUUCUUCUGAGCGCCUGCUGCCUACCAUCAUUUUAAGCCAAUCAACUAGAUUCACCUGCAAACAACAUGACAGCAUACCUGUGAGAAGCGGAAGAUACCAGCAAAAGGCAUUCCAAAUUUUAAGCUCACAUGGAACAUGAAAGCAUAAGCUUUCUUUUUUAAAAAAAAAAAUAAAGAAAGAAAGGCACUUUGAGGCAGUUACACACAUUAUGUCACAGAACACAUUGUGUGACCAAACAUAGUGAGGGAAUGGCUGCUCUAAAAGAAACAUGAAUUUCCACAAAGUGAGUAUAUUGAAUGAUAUAAACAUAAUAUGUAUCUUAAAAGGCCAAGCCAAACACAUAUAAAAGAUGUGCAUGGGAUCUAUAAAUCACAGUGCAAGAUAAUUUACACACCACAUGCUUAAUUAUUACCUCAGUACUUUCAAAAGCUUAUUAAAAUUGAGUCCACCAGAGAGAAGUCUCAAAAUGAGAUACCUAGUACUGUACCAUAUUUGGAUCAAUCUAGAAAGCUUAGCACUCCUGAAUAUGAAGAGUGAUUAAACAUCUUACAGAUUAAUCUAUCAGUGUUUUUUCGGUUUACAAAAAGAAAGCUUAAUUACUUUAAAAACCUUAGACUUUUUGGAGGUUUUCAUUUUUAUCCUGAACUUCGAUUCAUUACAAUCAGAUCCUUAAACUUUUAUAAUAUUACAAUUUCUCCCCUAACUCCCUGAGUGCUAUUUUCAUCAGACGACCGUGACAGAAAUGUCACGUGCUAUCAUGUGAUACGUAAUGGAAGCUGAUGUGGAAUCCUGAACACCUUCCUUGUUUCUUCGUUUUAGCUAGGAUUUCUACUUCCAAUUUCAUCACUUUCUCUCAACCGCUACCUCUUCUAAAACUUCACCACCUUCUACACCACCAUCGACACCUCCGUCUAUACCAUCACCAUCUCUAAACCUUUCUCCAUGGAGGCCACAAUCACCACCAAGACUGCUUCCAUUACCAUCCUUUUUAUCAAGUGUUGAAAAUUUUGAAUUUUGAGGUCACAGAGAUCUUAGUGGUCUCCUUUUUUUUGUUAUUUACAUUUGCUUGAGAAAUUGUGUGAUUGAUAGGAUUUCUGGGUUUGUAAUGAUUCGAAUUAUUGGUUCGUUUGAUUGGUAGCUAAUCUUAUAAACUCACAAAGCUAAUCUUAGAGAAUCUAAAUUUUAAAAGAAACCAUGAAGAAGAUGAGAACAACCAAUCCUAAUCCUCUGUGCUUUGUUCUCUCUUCUUUUUCUCAAGUGGGUCAUGCUCCAAAAAGAUGGAGGAAAAAUAAUAAAAUGAAAAGUAAAAACCAUAGCUAAAAGGAAGAAAUAGGGAAGAAGUAGUUUAGGUUUUUACGUCAGCUAAUUUUAUGCUACGUCAACUUCCACUGUGUCAGAUAAUAGCACAUGACAUUUCCAUCACGGUCGUUAGACGGAACUAGCACUCAAGAGAGAAAUUGUAAUAUUAUAAAAGUUUGAGGACCUAAUUACAAUGAAUCAAAGUUCAGGAUAAAAAUGAAAAGCCCCAAAAAGUCUAAGGUUUUUCAAGUAAUUAUGACUCAUUCCAUUCUACAGUCAUGUCCUUCAUCACAACUUUUUUCUUCUCUUCCCAUCAAUUAGCUUUAGGAUAUCCCAGGUCCAUCUCUUUCCUUAUGCACAAAAAAAUCCCGAUCACAUUCCACAGUAAAGUCACACCGUUACCAGAAUCAAUGUUUUAUUCAUAUUGCUGUUACAUGUGCUCGAUGACUAGAUAAAACCCAUCUAACAAAUAUUCUUACGUCUCAGAAGCAAAUAAUGAUCUGUGUAUUCAGAUCAUAGCAUAUGCACCAAAGCCUAUACCUCAAACAUUUAUAGAAUUAAGACCCUCCUCACCCCAAAACACAUACAUGCACGCACACGCCCAUAGAGAAAAGAGAGGGGGGGCACGACACGCUGUUAGUCUGUUGUCACCAUGUUUGGUCCCGUGGAAGUCACCCAAACCCCUAACAUGCAAGUGUUCCUCAAUGAUUCAAGUUUUACACUCUUCUAGUCUCUCAUCAAUAAAAAACAUACCACAAGGGUUUUUAUCCAAGCUAUUAACCUUCUAUAUAUCUAAAACAUGUAAGAAGAUCUCCAACUUCUUCUAUAUAGCCCCUUAGCUGUACUUUUAUAAGGUAACUAGGCUGCACAAAUAAAUAUGUAUGGUUGCUUCUAAUAUAAACAAGAGAACGGAGAAAAGAAGAAAGACAUAAAACUGCCAUAGGCACCUAAUGUGCACCUGAUAUGACCCUAGCCAUUCCAUAUAUUGUGAAAAUGACCCUCUCCUAUUGGCAAAGGCUGACCGGCUGAGUUAAAACUCCGCAGCAGGGAAGUCAUCCAUCCAUGGAAUUGACUUCCGCCAGAUUAAAAAAAGGAGACGGAUCCAGAUGAUCCUUUGCUAUUGCACCUCCUGUUCUCCAAAUCUUUUCUUAAGCGAAACGUUUUUCUCCAAAUCAACACGAAACAUGCGUAGGUAGCUUUAUAUUGCAUACAAAUGAGCUAAAAUAUUUGCUCUCAAGAGCAUAAAGCAUUCAAGCCUAUAAAUUCCUCUGCCUAUUUUUGUGAAUGCUCCUGUUAUCUUGCCCAAUGGCUAAAGUGAAGAAUGUGAUAAUUAUUUAAUACUACAAAAAGGUGGCACGAUGCAUGAGGCUCCCACUAUUGCAAAGUCUAGUGAGGGCCAGAUGUACAUAGCCUUACAUAUGUGAGAGGCUUUUUCCGCAUUUGGAACUCACGAACUCUAGGUAACAGUGGAGCAUCUUUACCAUUGUGCCAAGGCUCACCAUCAGUCAAUAUAUAGAAAAAAAUUAUUUAAUACUGCAGGAAAAAUCAUUUUUAAAGCAGCACAAAGUCAUGGAAAACCAUACUUCAAGAGGAGAACUUAUGUUGAAGCACGCUAAAAAUCCAAACAACAAGAGUCUCCCACUUGUAAUGAUUAUAAGAGUUGUCUCAGGAAAUAACUAAUAUUCACAACCUGCAUAUCUGCAAGUACAUGUGCAAAAACUCACUAACCAUACACAGAACAACACAAGAAGCAGUUAUUUGUAGAUGAACCAGCUUUGUCAAAUUGUCAUAAGAACAAGGUAGAAAUCAAUGCUUUUACUCAAAAAUAGCGCUCCAUAAUCAAAAAGAAAUAGCAAUCACUGAGCAUUUCAAAUCCCAUGUUAUCAUCACUAGAGAUUCUGGAAUGUUACAGUGAACAAGACACAGAAUAGACAUGCAUAAAGAUCAAUUCCUACUUUCCUAAAUAAGUAAAGCAGCAGUUGAACAAAAUUGCUAAUAAUUUGAAGUUCUAGUCUUAGAAUCCCUGUAUGAAGCAAAGUGAAUCUCUAUGAAUCUUCAGAAGACAAUGUAACAAACUCCUUGCCAUCCCUAUAUUCUGUGGUGACAACCUUUUAAUCUAGUCAACGUCAUUACAAUUUUUUUUCAACAAGAGAGGCAAAUAAGGAUGCCAAUUUGAUCUCAGAGAAAAGAUUAGAAAAAAAAAAGCCAAAAAGUGAGAAUUGCUGUCUUGCUCUAUAUAACAUACAGAGGUAAUUGAAACUGACUGGAUGCUAACUUAGCAGACAGCAGACGAUGGUGAGCCAAUCCUUUUAACUUCUAAGUUAUAAAACUAAAGGAUAUUAAAGUAAACAGCCAGUUCAUUACUACCUCAUUUGCAGGCCGACCAUAAUCCACAGGAUCCCUCCCUGUAAUUGCUUCCAGUAGAACAACCCCAAAACUAUAAAUGUCACUCUUUUCAUUUAGAAGUCCAGUAUUAGCAUAUUCUGGUGCUACAUAACUGCAAAAAGAAGAAAGAUAUGAUGCUGAGUCAUGAAAAUUGAUAUUCUUAUUGCAACCAUUUUCCUUUUUCUUUUUUGUUUUUUUUUUUGGUGUACACUGUUGCAGUCAUUUUCUAUUAACCAACAAAGGCAUGGAAAGAACCAGUCCAGACAGAAAACCUACCCAAAGGUUCCCAUAACUCGAGUAGUGAUAUGACUUUUACCAGCACCAAGCAGCUUGGCUAAACCAAAAUCUGAUACUUUAGCAUUGAAAUCAUCAUCAAUCAAUAUAUUACUGGAUUUGAUGUCUCGGUGCACUACUUUUGGUUCAAUGGCCUCGUGUAAAUAAGCAAGACUGCAGAGACAUGUCAAGUUUUACUUAAGUUAUUGUUACAGGCGAAAACUGCUUGCAAAGUCAAAAAAAAAAAGGAAACAUGGUAAGAUAGUUGCUAGUUGGAUACCAAAUUAAGUCAAAUAUUAGAUAUUAACUUUAAACGAAAUGCAAUUGAAAGACAGGUUCUUGUUUUUUUUUAAACAACAGCUUGGUAUACAAAAUAUUGAGAACAAGCUUCAAAAUUUACUGGAGAGAGAAAUAAGUGCAUAUAUCCUACAGAAAUCACAGAAAAAGAAAAAAAAAUCUAAAGAUAAGAUCAAGUUAACAACAAGAACAACAACACAGCAGUAGCAGCAGCAAAAAUGAAAACAAAUUUUUCAAAAGAAUAUCAACUCACGCCUUAGCUGUGCCCAGAAGGAUCUUUAUACGGGCUUCCCAAGUAAGAGAACCGCGCUGGCGCAUAGCUCCAUGAAGCCAUUGUUCUAGAUUUCCAUUGUUCACAUACUCAUAAACUAGCAUCCUGGAUAUUUCAGAAAUGCAUUGGAAAAAGGUGUGUCAGAGAUAUUGGCACACAUGUAAUAAAGGGAUCUUGAUGCUCACAAUUGCAUUGCAAGUAAAAUAUCUGCGCAUUUCUAGCAUAACAAAAUAGCAGAAGCAAAAGCAGCAGCAAUAUAGUUUCAGUUAAUAACACUUAAAGGGGAUCAACAAAAGAAGAAUACGAAGAACAAGAAUGCACAAGUUGUUGGCAUCUUGUGCCUUAUAUCACCAAAACCUCCAGAAGAGAAAGCUAAAAAUCAAGAAGACAGCUUACCUUUGAGUACCCUCCACACAGUAUCCCAAAAGGCGAACUAAAUUCUUGUGGCGGACAUGACCAAUAGCCUCAACUUCCACUCUAAAUUCCUUCUCAGCUUGCCCACUAGAAGCCAGAAAAGGUAAAAGAUAAAUGCAUAAUAGAAAUUGUCUUGUUAUUUAUUAAAAAAACUUAUGAAAGGAACAUAUAAGCAUAUCAAAAGUUAUUAAAGCCAAACACAAUGAAAGCUUACAGAUUGUUAAGAAGCUUCUUGACAGCUACUGGAGUACCAUUGAUAAGUUGACCACGAUAAACAACCCCGUAGCCACCCUCCCCAAGCACAUUUUCUCUUGAAAAUCGAUUGGUCGCAAGUUCUAAAUCCCUCAGAGUAAACCAGUGACCCCAGCCAAGGUGAGAAAAUUCUGGAAGGCCUGUCAAAGGAGAAGGGGCAGUUAUAGGGUAAGAAGAAGAUUGUCUGUAAACAGCAACUGUCCCUGAACUUCCUUCUUCACCAGAUUGGGAGCCACAAUCUUUCUCCACAUAAUGAAAUGAGCCUGAAUUACUGUUUUCAUCUGCAUGUCUCGAUUUACCCAAUCCCAAAUGAACCAUCACCUUAUCUGAUUCCUUUUCAUUGGAUUUGUCAUGGAUUGUGAGCAGAAUCCCGUCGUGAGCAAUAAAGUCAUUAGCAGAGACUUGCUCCACCCUCACUUCCUUGAUUUCCUUCGAAACUGAUGGGAUUUGGGUGAUAGGAAGGUUAUUGGAAGCCCUUCUUGACCUCCUCCGACUCCGAGCAUUAAGGCAUAUAACUAGGACAGACAGAACACCCAACAUAAAGGCCCCAACACCAAUUGCAAUUACAACCCAUAACUUAAGACCAAAGAGAAAAGUUUUCUCAUAUAGAUGUCCUUUCAGAGAGGGCGACGACAUAUUUCCAAUGGCAAAUUUCCUAUAGAAAGAAAGAAAUGGAAUGAAGGAUAAGGCUUUUUCAUGUUGCUGGAAGAAAGCACAAGAUCAAUAAUAACUCCGCAACACAUAAACAAAAAGUAUAUGCAUAUAAAAGUUAAUCAACCGGUAACUGACAAACUCUAAAUGCAAUUAACUAGGCAUCUAAAGCAUAGAAUAAAUAUUAUGACAGCAAGUGGUAAGGUCAUCACUUUAUGUUAUCAUCAGCAAAGUGAAUUCCAGAACGGUCUAAACUACAGCGUUUGAUACAAACAAGCCAACAUUCUAGUCAUUCUUAUAAUAUAUCACCAUAUAUUCUGGCUCUGGGUAUGCAAAGAAAACAAUGAGAAAAGAACAUCAAGGGCAAGAAAACUGCACGUGCGCAUGAUUUCAUAGACAUGAAUACAAGUACUGGAAUGAAGACAUAUUGCUACAUAUUUCUUUUCUAAAGUAAAAUGAAAUCACUUUAACAAGUCUAUCAUAAAUUUAGAAUAGUUAGACCUACUGUAGCUGAUAGUAGAUAGAUACGAAUCAGCGAAUCUUUUAUAAAAAGAACCGUGCCCAUCCCCAUCAAAUUGGAGAUAUUAAUAAGCAAAGUGCAUAUAAGAUAUACAAAGUUUACAUGGCACAUCAUUUAAAAGGAAAAAGCAACAAAACAAAAAGAAAAUCAGAUCAUUCAAGCAGAAACCAUCAGUCAAAGGCAGGUUACUUCUUAGCUACGUAUAGAAGACUGUCUCACAAGUAGAUGCAUGUUGAAAAUGCAAAAGAAGAGAACAAGAGAAACAUCAAUUACUUAGCUCACAUAUCACCAUUAUUCGUAUUUACAUAGCAGACAAUUCAUGCAAAGUAAAAUAGACUCCUGCAGAGCAAAAAUAUCUCUACCAGCAUUCCUAAUAAAGGCAAUAACUCUGAAAAAAUACAAUACGAACAUAAAGGAAGAUAUCAUUCGAUAUCCUUGUUGCUUCUCCUUUUGCACUCUUCAAAUUCUCCAAGCAAUUUAUAACGGAAGCAACAACAAUUUCAAAAUAAAACAAAAUCCAGAAAGAAAUACUUCAUAAGGUCAAAACUAACGUGCAAAGGCACCAAAGACCAAAAUGAAAAUUUUGUUACUAAAUCCUUUCCAACCCAGAAACUGUCCAAAUCGGACCAAAUAGUGGGAUGAAUGAACAAAUCAACCCAAGCAUUCUCUCGUUCUCUAGAAAAUUCUCAAAAGCCUCAUCUUUAAAACCUCUCCCCGUCACAAGAAUUCCGCAUGUUAAUCGAGCAUUUUACAACAUUAUAGCAUCUAUUAAUACCGGGAAACAAGCAAUGGCAGCCAGGACCGAAAUCCAAUUUCCCUCAUACAAUACCAAUCUAGCCUAAGAUAGAACGAAAACAAAAAAAUUAUACAUUUUUUCAACCACAUUCGAUUUCUAGCAUCAAAUCAAGGCCACAUUGCAAUCACCUUUAGGACAACGAAGACAAACAACGACCACAUCAAAGUAGAAAGUCAAAACUUCCACUCUUCCGUACCUCAAAUCCUCAGAUCUCCAGAAAGACUCGACCUUCCCCCCCUCUCCCCUCUUCUCCUCGCACCCGCCUCCACAAAGCGGAACCCCCAAACCCUAGAACCGACCAACCGGCGGGAAGCAGGCGCCGCCCCAGACGCCAGGCGCUACAGCCCCAUUGCCCCAGGAGAUCAGAUCCCGUGGAGGGCGGCGGCCGGAAGAAGGAUCUACACGGUCGGUGGGGUGCCGGAGACGCCUCGGAUCUGAGCUGGGGCGGCGCUCUCUGCGGAGGGAGCAGCUCCUCCGCUGAAAUCCUAGCCCUAAUUUUAGGAGACGAAAGGAGGCGCCUUGGACGAUUUGUAGAGGAGGAGGGGAAUGGGACAUAGAGAAGGGGGAAAGAGAGAGAGGGGAAGGGGGAGAAGAAGAGAUGGAGUUAUCAGCGGUAGGUGGUGACGGCAAAGAACAGAUGCUUCUCAGUGCAGUAAAAGAGAUGGCAGGAUGACCUGGAAUAUUCUUUUUUGGGAAGAAAGAGAAAAGAAGAAAAAAAUAAUUUGUCUUUUUUUUUCCUUCUUUUUUACUCAUGACUUCUUUCUUGUUGGAAUGGGGUGAAAAAAUGUCAAACUAUUUUUAUGAUUUUUUUAGAUAGGGAAAAAGAGUUUUCUUGCACAGAAUGUUAAAUUUUAAUUAUUUUUUAAAUUAAUUAAAAUUUAAUUUCAGUUAUUUAUAGUAUGAAUGAGUGUUAAUGAGGUGCAUCUUUAGACCAUGAAAGCAUAUAAUUAAGAUCAAUAAGAUGCAUUAGAGUUAUUUAUGACAUAGCAUAGUGUUAGAUAUAUUUUAUAGUUAUCCAUACUGAUGGACUAAUUUUAUUGAGAUGGCUUUUUGUUCGAUAGCAAUGUGCAAUUAGGGGGAUAAAAUAAAAUGACUGAAGUAGAAAAUAUAUUUAAAAUAUAGAGAAUAAAUCUUCAUUCAUGAUUUAUGUUCAUCCUUUGAUAUCAACAUGUAAUACUGCAUAAACCACCUUCAUUCAACGUAAAACAGCUGCCGGUCACUGAGUCAUUGUAAUAUAUCUUACACUUCCCCCCACCUCCGAAAAUUUAAAAGAAAAAUUAAAAAUUAAAAAAAAAAUGCAUUUGAUAAUUUUUUGAUUUUUAAUUUUUAAAAAAUAUUUUAUUUUUUUAAUUUUUAUUAUUAAAUAAAAAUAAAAAAUAAAAAAUAUAUUUGAUAACUACGUUGCUAUAAAGUAAAAAGCAAUGUUUAAUGACGGCAAGUGAAGAGCUCGAUGAGAGAUAAGAGUUUGGGCUCUUUAUUUUCUAAUUUGAUAUUUUAGUUAUGGAAAAAUAAAAAAAAAAAUAAAUUUUAAAAAAUAAAUAAUUUUUAUUUUUCAUAUAAAAUAUUUAUUUUAAUUAUUUUAAUUUUUAAUUUUUAUAAUAUUAAUAAAUAUUAUUUUUUGAUUUUUAUUUUUUAAAAAUUAAAAAAUAAAAAAAAUAUUUUUUUAAUCACUAACUAAACGCACCCUAAGCCAUUGUUAUAAGGACUCUCUAAAUUGAAAACUUUUUUUCAGUGAUGUGAAUGUCCAUGUGUCUAUGAGAAAUCGAAGAAGACAAAUAAAAGAAGGCCUAUUUAUUAUAUAAAGAUGUAUCAAAAUAGUUAUGCUCUAUACACAUUCGAUAUCAUGUGAUGAGACAUUUAGUCUCAAUCAGCAAAGAAUGAAGGGUUAAUUAGCUUCGUUCCAGUUUGGACUUUGACUUUUGGAACAUCUAUAAAAAAUUAUUUAAGAUUCAUGCAUUCGACAAGCGAUCCUAGCAACAAGUUGGAAGCUUUUUUUAGAUAAAUAAGUUAACUUAUAACUCAAUACAUCAACAUAAUACAAAUCACUUAAGGAGUCAUAAAAAAAUAUCUAUAAUGAUUUUAAUGACGUGUCUCUAAAAAAAAAUAUAAUAAUUUAGAAUCUAAUCUAAAAAAAUUGAUCGAAAAAUUUUAUUUAAAUUUUUAUUUAUGUAUAACUAUCCAUAAUCUAUACGAUGCAUGGCUCACAAAGAACUAAUAAUAUUAUUUAAGAUUUUAUAUACUCUUCUGAUUUAAGUCUCUGGACUAAAAAUCUAAAUAUAUCUAAAUUUAAUGACAACCAUCAUAAUUAAUCAAUGGCCAACCCAAAUAGACAUGUAGUGCAAUGUCUAAUGCAUGCAGGUCAUAGGCAGGAUCCACUCUGAUGCUACUUGUAACCGGUACUUUACUAAAAAAUCUAGUUAAAAGAUGUUAUUUAAAAUUUUUAAUUUUAUAUAAAUAUUCAAGUGACACCAAAUGCAUAACUAAUAUGAGACUACAUACAAACAUACAUACAUCCAUACAUACAUAUAUACAUAUAUAACCAUAUUAUUUAAUCACUAAUAAACUAAAAAUGUCAAUCAACAUCAAAUGUUUUUUAUAUUUUUUCUGUUUCCAGGACCCCAUGUCUGUACCAUGUAAUAUUAUCACAAAAAGGAAAUUCCUAAUAUAUCUAAGGUGAACAAAUACAUACUAUUAGUCUUAGUGUCUUCUCAAGAAGAGAAAUUUAAAUUAUUAUAUAGAUCAGACACAAAAAAAAUAAAAUGAACACUAAAAAUAUAAUCAUUUCAUUAUUUUUUAUUAGUUUCCAUUUUGUUUCCAUUGCUGAAUUCUACAAGUGAAAAUUCAAAGGUCAACGGGGA